rnacentral:lncRNA from 1 species
UGUAGUCAUUCAGCGAGCAAGCAAUCGCGUGAAGAACCUUCAGCGUGCAAUGGCUUCGGUGGCCUACUCUCGCCAGGACUGUGCACGCAGUGCUAAUGAUGGGAAUGCAAGGUUGCAGCAAAAAAUAGUGAGGGAGAAAGACAGAGGUCUCCUAAACAGGAGUACGUGAGAGUAUUCGUGUUUUGCACAUAUGAGAACAAGAGGACGUGCCGCUCUUAUAUAAGCUCCAUGGGGUGAGGUUCAUCGAACCUGAACGUCAUAAUGCGAUGGAAGGUACUAGUAAGCACUAUUAACUCUUAGCACUUUAUUGGCUAUGUUAAUUGAGUGAACCAAUUCUCAUAAACAAUAAUAAUCACCUCUCCUCAACUUCCCAUUCAAAAUUGACCAAUUAAUAACUCAUAGCAUUUAAUCAUGGACCUUUAAUUCUUAUUCAAUUAAUUGAAAUAAAUGGGCCUAAUUCAAUUAAUCUAACAAUCCCC